UUCCUGUACUUGGUGUUACUGCGAAGGGGGGACGGAGAAGGCUAUGUUGGCCGGGCGACGGUUGUCCCGGUUUAAGCGUGUAGGCUGGUUUUCCAGGCAAAUCCGGAAAAUCAAGGCUGAGGCGUGAUGACGAGGCACUACGGUGCUGAAGCAACAAAUGCCCUGCUUCCAGGAAAAGCCUCUAAGCAUCAGGUAACAUCAAAUCGUACCCCAAACCGACACAGGUGGUCAGGUAGAGAAUACCAAGGCGCUUGA
rnacentral:rRNA from 2 species